rnacentral:rRNA from 1 species
AGUGAACGCUGGCGGUAGGCCUAGCACAUGCAAGUCGAACGGCAGCACAGAGGAGCUUGCUCCUUGGGUGGCGAGUGGCGGACGGGUGAGGAAUACAUCGGAAUCUACUCUGUCGUGGGGGAUAACGUAGGGAAACUUACGCUAAUACCGCAUACGACCUACGGGUGAAAGCAGGGGACCUUCGGGCCUUGCGCGAUUGAAUGAGCCGAUGUCGGAUUAGCUAGUUGGCGGGGUAAAGGCCCACCAAGGCGACGAUCCGUAGCUGGUCUGAGAGGAUAAUCAGCCACAAUGGAACUGAGACACGGGCCAGACUCCACGGGAGGCAGCAGUGGGGAAUAUUGGACAAUGGGCGCAAGCCUGAUCCAGCCAUACCGCGUGGGUGAAGAAGGCCUUCGGGUUGUAAAGCCCUUUUGUUGGGAAAGAAAUCCAGCUGGCUAAUACCCGGUUGGGACGACGGUACCCAAAGAAUAAGCACCGGCUAACUUCGUGCCAGCCGCCGCGGUAA